rfam:Roseburia sp. 831b contig000006, whole genome shotgun sequence.
UUUGGGAGAAUAUUAGAAAAUCUUUGUAUGGCUAUUCCUUCUCAGUGAUGUUCUGCCACGGACGGCAGAACAAGGCUUCACGAGCCAUGGAUGGCUCGUUGAACGCCGGGCACGUCACUCUGAAAUAUACUUUGUUAGGCAUACAUAGACUUUUCUUAUAUUCGUACAUC